AUACCAGUUGACUAUGCUUAUUUGGGUCAUCUCGGUCGUGAACCCUUAUUUGGAUCAACUUCUUAAACCACUUCUAGUCCUCAAGAAAUAGGUUCUUCUAGUUCUCAAGCAAAAUCCUCUUAGGAAAUAGACUUUUAUUGUUGCCAUAGGAUUCUUGGCAUUACAAAUAAUAUCCUCUAUGAUUUUUAUCUUCCCACCAAGAUAGUUAAGGGACUGUUGGAUGUCUCAAAGGCUGAAUAUAGAAUGGAUGAUAACGGUCU
rnacentral:lncRNA from 1 species